GUCUACAGCCAUGCCACCCUGAACAAACUUGAUCUUGUCUGAUCUUGGAAGCUUAGCAGUGCCGGGUCUGGUUAGUACUUGGAUGGGAGACCACCUAGGAAAACCAGGUGCUGUAGGCU
rfam:Pteropus alecto contig64246, whole genome shotgun sequence.